GACGAACGCUGGCGGCGUGCUUAACACAUGCAAGUCGAACGGAAAGGCCCUGCUUUUGUGGGGUGCUCGAGUGGCGAACGGGUGAGUAACACGUGUGUAACCUGCCCUUGACUUUGGGAUAACUUCAGGAAACUGGGGCUAAUACCGGAUAGGAGCUCCUGCUGCAUGGUGGGGGUUGGAAAGUUUCGGCGGUUGGGGAUGGACUCGCGGCUUAUCAGCUUGUUGGUGGGGUAGUGGCCUACCAAGGCUUUGACGGGUAGCCGGCCUGAGAGGGUGACCGGCCACAUUGGGACUGAGAUACGGCCCAGACUCCUACGGGAGGCAGCAGUGGGGAAUAUUGCACAAUGGGCGGAAGCCUGAUGCAGCAACGCCGCGUGCGGGAUGACGGCCUUCGGGUUGUAAACCGCUUUCGCCUGUGACGAAGCGUGAGUGACGGUAAUGGGUAAAGAAGCACCGGCUAACUACGUG
rnacentral:rRNA from 1 species